CACCUUUUCUCAUUGUUUUACUUGAAGAUUUAUGUGUACAUCACCGUUACGGAUUACAUUUUAGCAUAUUAUGUUCGUGUUAAGUCUGUUUUGUGAACUACCUGCAAGGAGCUAAUGGACAGCUAAAUGAACUGCUAGUUUGCACCCUUGGAAAGUGGAGCGAGUUUCACGGUGCUGGAAGAGCGACAAUAAAUGUCAUUGCACCCGUUU